GCGGGCGUGGCGAAACUGGUAGACGCGCUAGACUUAGGAUCUAGUGCCGAAAGGCUUGGGGGUUCGAGUCCCUUCGUCCGCA
rnacentral:tRNA from 1 species